UACAGAGGUCUCAAGCGUUGUUCGGAUUCAUUGGGCGUAAAGGGUGCGUAGGCGGCGCGGUAAGUCGGGUGUGAAAUCUCGGAGCUUAACUCCGAAACUGCAUUCGAUACUGCCGUGCUUGAGGACUGGAGAGGAGACUGGAAUUUACGGUGUAGCGGUGAAAUGCGUAGAUAUCGAUAAGGAACGCCAGUAGGCGAAAAGCGAAUCUGCUGGGCAGCAACUGACGCUGAGGCAGCGAAGGCCCAGGGGGAGCAAAACCGGG
rnacentral:rRNA from 1 species